GGGCCCCCAUGAUGUCCAGCACUGGGCUCUGACCUCCCUUGAGGACAUGGUGCCCCCCCCCCCCCCCCCGGGACCUUUGACACCCAUGGGGUCUGAGGGGCCC
rnacentral:snoRNA from 1 species